AACGAACGCUGGCGGCAGGCUUAACACAUGCAAGUCGAACGGGUGUAGCAAUACAUCAGUGGCAGACGGGUGAGUAACACGUGGGAACCUUCCUAGGGGUACGGAACAACUCAGGGAAACUUGAGCUAAUACCGUAUACGUCCGUGAGGAGAAAGAUUUAUCGCCCUUAGACGGGCCCGCGUCGGACUAGGUAGUUGGUGGGGUAACGGCCUACCAAGCCUACGAUCCGUAGCUGAUCUUAGAGGAUGAUCAGCCACACUGGGACUGAGACACGGCCCAGACUCCUACGGGAGGCAGCAGUGGGGAAUCUUGGACAAUGGGCGCAAGCCUGAUCCAGCCAUGCCGCGUGAGUGAAGAAGGCCUUAGGGUUGUAAAGCUCUUUUACCAGGGACGAUAAUGACGGUACCUGGAGAAUAAGCCCCGGCAAACUUCGUGCCAGCAGCCGCCGUAACAC
rnacentral:rRNA from 1 species